CCACGGAGCCACAGAGAAGCCUGAAAUAAUACAUAUUAUAAGUUUAAAGACACGGCCACUUGUCUUUAAAGGAAAUGAAUCUUUAAAAGCUAAAGGAAGUGAGGUCUAGGGUGAAGAGCCUGCCCAGCGUCAUUCACUCAUCACUCGUCAGCAAGUGUGGAAUCUCCUGAAGAAGACAAGGACAUGGAAGAGAAUGCUGCUCUCAAAAUCCAGGCAGCCUUCCGGGGCCACUUGGCCAGAGAGGAGGUAAAGAGGAUGAAAUCGAGGGAGCUUGGAGAGGAGAAAGCAGAGGAGAACGAGUGAGGAGACUGGCUUUACCCCACGGAAAUCAAGAAAAGAAUCCGAAUCCAUCAACCUUGUUGUGAUUGUCUUUUUUUCUUAGUAAAUGAGAUUUGAUGUAGUGAAA